GACGAACGCUGGCGGCGUGCCUAAUACAUGCAAGUUGAGCGCUGAAGGUUGGUACUUGUACCAACUGGAUGAGCAGCGAACGGGUGAGUAACGCGUGGGGAAUCUGCCUUUGAGCGGGGGACAACAUUUGGAAACGAAUGCUAAUACCGCAUAAAAACUUUAAACACAAGUUUUAAGUUUGAAAGAUGCAAUUGCAUCACUCAAAGAUGAUCCCGCGUUGUAUUAGCUAGUUGGUGAGGUAAAGGCUCACCAAGGCGAUGAUACAUAGCCGACCUGAGAGGGUGAUCGGCCACAUUGGGACUGAGACACGGCCCAAACUCCUACGGGAGGCAGCAGUAGGGAAUCUUCGGCAAUGGACGAAAGUCUGACCGAGCAACGCCGCGGGAGUGAAGAAGGGUUUCGGAUCGUAAAACUCUGUUGGUAGAGAAGAACGUUGGUGAGAGUGGAAAGCUCAUCAAGUGACGGUAACUACACAGAAAGGGACGGCUAACUACGUG
rnacentral:rRNA from 1 species